CAACCAGUGAGAGACGCCAGGGCAACGCUCGCUCGCUCCGCCCGCCGGAGCUGAGGGCCGGGAAACGGUGACACCCUCGCGCCCUGUCCCGGCGAGGGGAGCGAGCACAGGGCACAGAACAGCCCCCGCGGCAUCCCCGGCCCGGGGCGCGAGGGUUAGGUUACAACUGUUAGAGACAGAACAGAUCUAUUAGGUCAGCCAAUCACUGCUGACUCAGUCAAGAGAGGCAAUACUUUACGUAACACGAGGAAUCAGAGGAGUCCACUUCUGCUGAUGCUUUUUCUGUGCAACAGUUCCAUGGUGUUGUGAGAAACCAGAAUCAGGUCAGGAAGCUUAGAGAAAGCACACUGAACCACUUUCUAUGGCAUGCUGUUGUCCUGGUUUGAGAUGAGGAAACGUAUGCACUUGAACAACCGGAAGUUUCCAGUUUGAAAAGCACCUGUCAUCAUGCCAUCUGUCUGCACACAAAUCUCCCAGUGAAUUCGAAAGAGUUCCACCCCUGGAAUGAUGACAGGAUAAGUUUGGUUUUAUUCAGAUAACAUCAUCAGAAUAUACUCAGCCUAAGAUUUCAACCCAUGCCUGGCUGUUCCAGGAUUUCCUGAAGAACCUCCAUGUAUCUAUCCUAAGUUUCCUCUGAAGAGAGGGCCCUGUCACCUCUCAGGUCCUGGUAGAAUUAACAAGCAGGGUCCACUGGAUCUGAUGCUAAGAGCAAAGACAGAUUCCCUGCAUAACUGCAAUUGCUGUUAGCAUCUGGAUAUACCUUGAACUUAAUAUCAAAUUAUCAACAUAUGGAGAGACUUGCUAAACAAAUGAGAAGUGUGCUUCAUGUUAUGGAAAUCUAAAUGACUGUUAUAAUGAUAGAAGGAAAAAUAAAUGCUCAAAGCUUAUAUUUAUUGUUGUUCAUCUAAUAAUAUCUAAACAUUAAUUGCACUGUAAGUUUAAUAAUGCCAAAAUGUAUUUACCAUGCA